rnacentral:rRNA from 1 species
UACGUAGGGUGCGAGCGUUAAUCGGAAUUACUGGGCGUAAAGCGUGCGCAGGCGGUUUUGUAAGCCAGAUGUGAAAUCCCCGGGCUCAACCUGGGAAUGGCAUUUGGGACUGCAAGGCUGGAGUGCGGCAGAGGAGACUGGAAUUCCUGGUGUAGCAGUGAAAUGCGUAGAUAUCAGGAGGAAUACCGAUGGCGAAGGCAGGUCUCUGGGCUGACACUGACGCUCAUGCACGAAGGUCAGGGGAGCAAACGGG